rnacentral:rRNA from 1 species
UGGGGAAUAUUGGACAAUGGGGGGAACCCUGAUCCAGCCAUGCCGCGUGUGUGAAGAAGGCCUUAUGGUUGUAAAGCACUUUAAGCGAGGAGGAGGGUACUGGUAUUAAUACUACCAGGUACUGGACGUUACUCGCAGAAUAAGCACCGGCUAACUCUGUGCCAGCAGCCGCGGUAAUACAGAGGGUGCGAGCGUUAAUCGGAUUUACUGGGCGUAAAGCGUGCGUAGGCGGCUAAUUGAGUCGGAUGUGAAAUCCCCGAGCUUAACUUGGGAAUUGCAUUCGAUACUGGUUAGCUAGAGUGUGGGAGAGGAUGGUAGAAUUCCAGGUGUAGCGGUGAAAUGCGUAGGGAUCUGGAGGAAUACCGAUGGCGAAGGCAGCCAUCUGGCCUAACACUGACGCUGAGGUACGAAAGCAUGGGGAGCAAACAGG